UUUAUACAGUGUUCAUGGCUGCAGUAUUUUUAGUAUAUUUAUCUUCGGCUUACUGUAUUCUGUAUCUCACUUAUUUUAACACUAAACCAAAAAGGAGCGCAAUAGGAAUAAACCGUAACCUUCAAGCAAGCUCUCUGCUAGAUCUGCAACACUAAUGAUGUAGGACCUUAAAUACAUUUUGCCUAACCACAAGAGGAGGAAAGGCUCUCACAAGUCUUUCCGCCGAAGACGACAAUGUAUCUGAGUACUUGAACAUGAUAGAUGGACUCAUCCGUAUCCGUUGACUGGUGUGUUCCUGUCUCACGAGAAAAACCGAACCCACUUUAGAAUAAAAUCUGUCAUUAAAGCACUUUCAAUCCUCCUAAAUAGCCUCUACCAGUACCCUUAACUCUCUAAUCUGUUCUUCUUCUUUGAUUUUGUUUGAGAAAACUAACUAAAGUAGUCAGGAGAUUUCAACGGGCUUAUUUGUAGUUUUUCUUUGAAUUUUUUAACGCCUCAAAAUGGGAUAUUGGUGAAGUUCAUCAGCUCCUGAAGAGAAUUAAAGAUGUGUAUGAUUUUAGUCUUUAACUUGAAUCUGUGUUCAACCAGCUUAUCCGACUACUUUGACGAGGUUUGGAGGAUUUGACCGGUGGGAUGAAAUAAUUGGGAAACAGCCACAAUCACGCCAAUCAUGGGAUGUAUCCUCUCCUACCGUGUUCCCUUCUGCACCGGUUUCUGUGUACCAAAAUAUUACCAUUAUGCAGAAGGCAAAACACCAGCCAAUGCACAUCGUGUUAUUUUAGUUUUCGUUGUUGCCCCUCUUUUGUGAUUCUGACAUUCUGAAGUGCAUUUGUCUGAGGAGAAACAUGCUGCUCUGGUAGAACUAGUGCAGGCCUCCUUGGGUCCUGUGGGUGACUGUCUUUGCUCUGGUGUUGAUGUACUGUACCUCAGGCUCAAUCAAGACUGUCCUUAACAACUAAGCCCUUUUUUUUGGGAGAGUCCACACGCUAACGCCCGCUCGUUCCCCCAAAACAUCCGACUGCAAGGAUGUGACAGUUUUCUCCUCUAGGUAACUCGCUAGCUAAAUAAAAAUUCUCCAUGUUUAGCGCAAACCAUGCUUUUGUGUUUUUGUGUACUCAUUUGCCUCAGAAAUGUGUGCAUUGCUUCAAUGCUUCACACAGUAUCACACACACUCUCAAAUAUAAACUAUCUGCAUAUGCGCCGCUAAAUACAGCAAUGUAUUUACCGUAGCAGCAGCUCCAUGUCCACAUCUGCUCUGCAUUGCGGCUCUUUACUGACAUCAAAGUGUAAAAUGUGUUGAUGCCAAGGGGGUUGGUCUGACUAUAAAGUAAAAAUAUGUUGUAGAUUAAACUGACUUGGGAGACAGACCUGCCGGCCCAGAGGUAGUUGGUAUAAAGGUACAACUACAGGGAUUAGAAUGUUUGACAACGUAUGGAUGGUGCAGGCAGUGGUGGAAUGUAGCUGGAGUACAUUACUUUACAAAAGCGUAAUUUUUAGGUCAGGGCACUGAGCUUGAGUGUUUACUUUUUUUUAAAAAUUCUGCUCCACUACGUUUCAGAGGCAAAUGUUGUACUUUUCACUCCACCACAUUUGUUUUAUACUUACUUUGCGGGUUAGAGUUUUACAUGAAAAACCUACAGUAACUGUAAAACCUUAAAGGCGGAUGACAUUUCCCCUUAAAACUUCUCAGAAAGUUUCCUUUAAAUGAUUCAAAUUUCACAAGAAUAGAUAUUACAAACUAUUCCAAAUAGAGACCAUAUUGCUGGUCCAGGGAGGGUAUAGUGAUUCUGACUCCCUCGCUCUGAUCACAAAUCUUUGAGCUCAGAGUUUAUUUUGAUCUUGACAAAACACCUGUAAAGUUUCGUGACUGCAUGAUUUAUUUGAAACCGUCAGAAACUUUGUGUUAUUACUUAAAAUACAAUGUGAUGAUAGAAUAUGUGGAAUUUCCUGUUUGCUGUUUUAAAACAUGUACGUAUGGCGUUAUUUCGAUUUAGUGACCAGGGCAGGUGAAGGUAGAACAGUAAUCGUAGACGGACUUUAAAGACAUGUUAGACCUAUAAAAGAAGACAUUACGAUGAAACAACUAAAUACAAAAUUAUAUGAAUAAAAUUGUUAUGAAAUACAAUUUCCCUGUGGGUUUCACAAAUGUUUACACAACCUACAUGCUGUUACAUACAUCAACAUCUCAUUACACACAUCAACAUGCUAUUAUAUACAUCAACUUGAUCUUAUAUAAAUCAACAUGAUCUUAUAUACAUUAACGUCCUAUUAUAUACAUCAACAUGCGCUUAC
ensembl:lncRNA